rnacentral:lncRNA from 1 species
UGAGAUCGAGUUAAGUAAUGCCUUCUAUUCCACUCCAUCAUAGGUUAUGGGUAUAAGGUGUUACAUUUAGUGGUAUCAGAGCUACGGUUUAGUCAAUUCUAAGGCUAACCUAGCGAGAGUACGGGUAUACAUACCAUAACUGUAUAUUAAUAGCGUGACGACUUCUGAUGAUUAUAAAUUGUAUUUUCUAUAUAGUAAAUGGAUCCUGAUAGAGCCACGGCGGAUGACGUGGAGAGUAAUGCGUCAGCUCCCG